rnacentral:misc_RNA from 1 species
GAUGAAGAACGUAGCGAAAUGCGAUAAGUAAUGUGAAUUGCAGAAUUCAGUGAAUCAUCGAAUCUUUGAACGCACAUUGCGCCCCUUGGUAUUCCGGGGGGCAUGCCAGUCCGAGCGUCAUUACAACCCUCAAGCUCAGCUUGGUGUUGGGCCCCGCCGCCCCGGCGGGCCCUAAAGUCAGUGGCGGUGCCGUCCGGCUCCGAGCGUAGUAAUUCUUCUCGCUCUGGAGGUCCGGUCGUGUGCUCGCCAGCAACCCCCAAUUUUUUUCAGGUUGACCUCGGAUCAGGUAGGGAUACCCGCUGAACUUAAGCAUAUCAAUAAGCGGAGGA